rnacentral:rRNA from 1 species
UUUUCGCAAUGCCCGAAAGGGUGACGAAGCGACGCCGCGUGAGCGAAGAAGGCCUUAGGGUUGUAAAGCUCUGUCGGGGGUUAUGAAAUAUAGAUGAGAUAAUACCUCAUUUAUUUGACAAAGGCCCCAAAGGAAGCCACGGCUAACUCUGUGCCAGCAGCCGCGGUAAUACAGAGGUGGCGAGCGUUGUUCGGUAUUAUUGGGCGUAAAGAGCACGUAGGUGGUUUUGUAAGUCAGGUGUGAAAGCCUUCUAUUCAAAGGAAGAACGGCAUCUGAAACUGCAGAUCUUGAGUGUAGGAGGGGAGAGUGGAACUUCUGGUGGAGCGGUGAAAUGCGUAGAUAUCAGAAGGAACGUCGGCGGCGAAAGCGACUCUCUGGCCUAUUACUGACACUGAGUGUGCGAAAGUUAGGGGAGCAAACGGGAUUAGAUACCCCGGUAGUCCUAACCGUAAACGAUGGGCACUAAGUAGAGGGGUUUUAA